GGAGGAGGCAAGCGUUGUUCGGAAUUACUGGGCUUAAAGCGUGCGUAGGCGGGAUGGCAGGUGUCGUGUGAAAGCCCUCGGGCUCAACCGAGGAAUUGUUCGGCAAACCGUCAUUCUUGAGGCCAGCAGGGGAACCUGGAACUUUGGGUGGAGCGGUGAAAUGCGUAGAUAUCCAAGGGAACGCCGGUGGCGAAAGCGGGGUUCUGGGCUGGUUCUGACGCUGAGGCACGAAAGCGUGGGUAGCAAACAGGAUUAGAUACCCUGGUAGUCCACGCUGUAAACGAUGCGCACUAGGUAUCAGCGCCUCUGACGGGGUUGGUGCCGCAGCGAAGGCAUUAAGUGCGCCGCCUGGGGAGUACGGCCGCAAGGCUA
rnacentral:rRNA from 1 species